CCUGGCUCAGAUUGAACGCUGGCGGCAGGCUUAACACAUGCAAGUCGAGCGGUAGCACAAGGGAGCUUGCUNCCUGGGUGACGAGCGGCGGACGGGUGAGUAAUGUCUGGGAAACUGCCUGAUGGAGGGGGAUAACUACUGGAAACGGUAGCUAAUACCGCAUAACGUCGCAAGACCAAAGAGGGGGACCUUCGGGCCUCUUGCCAUCAGAUGUGCCCAGAUGGGAUUAGCUAGUAGGUGGGGUAAUGGCUCACCUAGGCGACGAUCCCUAGCUGGUCUGAGAGGAUGACCAGCCACACUGGAACUGAGACACGGUCCAGACUCCUACGGGAGGCAGCAGUGGGGAAUAUUGCACAAUGGGCGCAAGCCUGAUGCAGCCAUGCCGCGUGUGUGAAGAAGGCCUUCGGGUUGUAAAGCACUUUCAGCGAGGAGGAAGGUGGUGAACUUAAUACGUUCAUCAAUUGACGUUACUCGCAGAAGAAGCACCGGCUAACUCCGUGCCAGCAGCCGCGGUAAUACGGAGGGUGCAAGCGUUAAUCGGAAUUACUGGGCGUAAAGCGCACGCAGGCGGUUUGUUAAGUCAGAUGUGAAAUCCCCGGGCUCAACCUGGGAACUGCAUUUGAAACUGGCAAGCUAGAGUCUCGUAGAGGGGGGUAGAAUUCCAGGUGUAGCGGUGAAAUGCGUAGAGAUCUGGAGGAAUACCGGUGGCGAAGGCGGCCCCCUGGACGAAGA
rnacentral:rRNA from 1 species